rnacentral:rRNA from 1 species
UACGUAGGGAGCGAGCGUUGUCCGGAAUUUCUGGGUGUAAAGGGUGCGUAGGAGGGGGAGCAAGUCAGCAAUGAAAUGCAUGGGCUUAACUCAUGACGUGCUGUUGAAACUGUUUUUCUUGAGCGAGUCAGAGGCAGGCGGAAUUCCCGGUGUAGCGGUGAAAUGCAUAGAGAUCGGGAGGAACACCAGUGGCGAAGGCGGCCUGCUGGGGCUUAACUGACGCUGAGGCACGAAAGCGUGGGGAGCAAAC